CGACGAGUUUGAUCCUGGCUCAGAUUGAACGCUGGCGGCAUGCCUUACACAUGCAAGUCGAACGGUAACAGGUCUUCGGAUGCUGACGAGUGGCGAACGGGUGAGUAAUACAUCGGAACGUGCCCGAUCGUGGGGAUAACGAAGCGAAAGCUUUGCUAAUACCGCAUAAGAUCUACGGAUGAAAGCAGGGGACCGCGAAGGCCUUGCGCGAACGGAGCGGCCGAUGGCAGAUUAGGUAGUU
rnacentral:rRNA from 1 species